ensembl:lncRNA
GAGGUUUAUUAGUGUCACUGUAAACAUGUUACUGUAAACAUGAAUGGAGACGUUUAGGUACACCCCGAGGUUUAUUAGUGUCACUGUAAACAGUGUUACUUUAAACAUGAAUGGAGAGGUUUAGGUACACUCCGAGGUUUAUUAGUGUCACUGUUAAGUGUUACUGUAAACAUGUUGCUGUAAACAGUGUUACUGUAAACAUGUUGCUGUAAACAUGAGUGGAGACGUUUAGGGAACUCUGGGAACCUCCAUCUUUGAAACGCCCUAAUCCCCCUCCACCUCUGCCUCCUCCACCCUUAACCCCUCCAACCUCCUCACCUGUCGUCAGAAGGCCUGAACGGGUCGCUGCUAUGGCAACCGUGGAAACCUGUUUACAGGCGCGGCCCACGGUCCGCCUUAACCGGAGAAACGCAGGAGGAAGUAAAGCUGAACACCUCAGGAAAACAGGAAGGACAGAGGCAACAGCAACAACAACAAUAACAACAACAACAACAACGACGAUGACAGCGUUGGCGACGAGAGAGAUGGAGUAUCAGCCUCCCGGUCCUCCAGACGUCAGGAGGAGCAGGGAGGGUAAAGGACGACCUGAGGGCUGGGCUGCUACCCCGGGGAUCGAACCCGGGACCUUUGGGACGGACUCACCUUCAUCCGUAUGAUGGCGUUGACCCAGCUAACCUGGCUCUCCUUCUCCUCACAGCAGAAGUACCUGCAGACCGGAGACACAUUUUAAGGCAUUCUCAUUUUGUGGAACGUAUUUGAAAUGUUGUUCGUGAA